rnacentral:rRNA from 1 species
UACUCUUCGGGGUUGUAGGACUGCAAUAUGGACUCAAAGAUUAUAGAAGAAUGAUUUGGGAAGAUCAGCCAAAGAGAGUAAUAGCCUCGUAUUUAAAAUAGUCUUUGUACUUAGCAGUAUCCUGAGUACGGCGGGACACGUGAAAUCCCGUCGGAAUCUGGGAGGACCAUCUCCCAACCCUAAAUACUCCCUAGUGACCGAUAGUGAACCAGUACCGUGAGGGAAAGGUGAAAAGCACCCCGGGAGGGGAGUGAAAUAGAACCUGAAACCGUGUGCCUACAACAAGUUCGAGUCCGUUAAUGGGUGAGAGCGUGCCUUUUGUAGAAUGAACCGGCGAGUUACGUUAUGAUGCGAGGUUAAGUUGAAGAGACGGAGCCGUAGGGAAACCGAGUCUGAAUAGGGCGCCUUAGUAUCAUGACGUAGACCCGAAACCAUGUGACCUACCCAUGAGCAGGUUGAAGGUGCGGUAAGACGCACUGGAGGACCGAACCAGGGCACGUUGAAAAGUGCUUGGAUGACUUGUGGGUAGCGGAGAAAUUCCAAACGAACUUGGAGAUAGCUGGUUCUCUCCGAAAUAGCUUUAGGGCUAGCGUCGACAUUAGAGAUUCUUGGAGGUAGAGCACUGUUUGGGUGAGGGGUCCAUCCCGGAUUACCAAUCUCAGAUAAACUCCGAAUGCCAAUGAAUUAUGGUCGGCAGUCAGACUGCGAGUGCUAAGAUCCGUAGUCGAAAGGGAAACAGCCCAGACCACCAGCUAAGGUCCCAAAAUAAUUGUUAAGUGGAAAAGGAUGUGGGGUUGCACAGACAACUAGGAUGUUAGCUUAGAAGCAGCUAUUCAUUCAAAGAGUGCGUAAUAGCUCACUAGUCGAGUGACCCUGCGCCGAAAAUGUACCGGGGCUAAAACAAUUUACCGAAGCUGUGGAUACCUUUAUAGGUAUGGUAGGAGAGCGUUCUAUGUGUGAUGAAGGUAUACCGUGAGGAGUGCUGGAACGCAUAGAAGUGAGAAUGCCGGUAUGAGUAGCGAAAGACAGGUGAGAAUCCUGUCCACCGUAAGACUAAGGUUUCCAGGGGAAGGCUCGUCCGCCCUGGGUUAGUCGGGACCUAAGGAGAGACCGAAAGGUGUAUCCGAUGGACAACAGGUUGAUAUUCCUGUACUAGAGUAUGUAGUGAUGGAGGGACGCAGUAGGCUAACUAAAGCAGACGAUUGGAAGAGUCUGUCUAAGCAGUGAGGUGUGAAUUGAGUCAAAUGCUUAAUUCUAUAACAUUGAGCUGUGAUGGGGAGCGAAGUUUAGUAGCGAAGUUAGUGACGUCACACUGCCAAGAAAAGCUUCUAGCGUUUAACCAUACUCUACCCGUACCGCAAACCGACACAGGUAGUCGAGGCGAGUAGCCUCAGGUGAGCGAGAGAACUCUCGUUAAGGAACUCGGCAAAAUGACCCCGUAACUUCGGGAGAAGGGGUGCUGACUUUAAGUCAGCCGCAGUGAAUAGGCCCAAGCAACUGUUUAUCAAAAACACAGCUCUCUGCUAAAUCGUAAGAUGAUGUAUAGGGGGUGACGCCUGCCCGGUGCUGGAAGGUUAAGAGGAGUGCUUAGCGUAAGCGAAGGUAUGAAUUGAAGCCCCAGUAAACGGCGGCCGUAACUAUAACGGUCCUAAGGUAGCGAAAUUCCUUGUCGGGUAAGUUCCGACCCGCACGAAAGGCGUAAUGAUUUGGGCACUGUCUCAACGAGAGACUCGGUGAAAUUUUAGUACCUGUGAAGAUGCAGGUUACCCGCGACAGGACGGAAAGACCCCAUGGAGCUUUACUGCAGUUUGAUAUUGAGUGUCUGUACCACAUGUACAGGAUAGGUAGGAGUCUAAGAGAUCGGGACGCCAGUUUCGAAGGAGACGCUGUUGGGAUACUACCCUUGUGUUAUGGCCACUCUAACCCAGAUAGGUGAUCCCUAUCGGAGACAGUGUCUGACGGGCAGUUUGACUGGGGCGGUCGCCUCCUAAAAGGUAACGGAGGCGCCCAAAGGUUCCCUCAGAAUGGUUGGAAAUCAUUCGCAGAGUGUAAAGGUAUAAGGGAGCUUGACUGCGAGAGCUACAACUCGAGCAGGGACGAAAGUCGGGCUUAGUGAUCCGGUGGUUCCGUAUGGAAGGGCCAUCGCUCAACGGAUAAAAGCUACCCUGGGGAUAACAGGCUUAUCUCCCCCAAGAGUUCACAUCGACGGGGAGGUUUGGCACCUCGAUGUCGGCUCGUCGCAUCCUGGGGCUGUAGUCGGUCCCAAGGGUUGGGCUGUUCGCCCAUUAAAGCGGCACGCGAGCUGGGUUCAGAACGUCGUGAGACAGUUCGGUCCCUAUCCGUCGCGGGCGUAGGAAAUUUGAGAGGAUCUGCUCCUAGUACGAGAGGACCAGAGUGGACUUACCGCUGGUGUACCAGUUGUCUUGCCAAAGGCAUCGCUGGGUAGCUAUGUAGGGAAGGGAUAAACGCUGAAAGCAUCUAAGUGUGAAACCCACCUCAAGAUGAGAUUUCCCAUGAUUAUAUAUCAGUAAGAGCCCUGAGAGAUGAUCAGGUAGAUAGGUUAGAAGUGGAAGUGUGGCGACACAUGUAGCGGACUAAUACUAAUAGCUCGAGGACUUAUCCAA